AUGGACAGCGGUGUCGCCAGUUCAGUUGGGGUCCAGGUUUCUAUGGAGCUCUAUUCGGAUCACUGGCUGCAGCACUUCUGCUCAUUAUCAUUAUUGUCACUGUUGUUGUGGCCCGGAGGCAGCGUACAGGCAUUUGGAAAAGGCGUGGCUCCUUUCACAGAAGACUCUCUGUGUUUGAUGAAGAUUUCUUUGACUUUUCAGAUACCAGUCUCAGUGUCAAUUCCACCAUGGGACUUCCUGGCAGGUACACUUCAGUGGGUUUUAU